CAGGGCAGUAACAGGAGAUCGUCAUGGUAAUUAUCAAGGGCCUCACCCUAUUCCCGGUCACAUGGUUGAGCCUUAAGUAUACUAGUUACUGGAGGAGGAGAGCCUUAAGUAUACUAGUUACUGGAGGAGGAGAGCCAUGGACAGAGAGAGAGAGAGAGAGAGAGAGAGAGAGAGAGAGGAGAGAGAGAGAGAAGAGAGAGAGGAAGAGAGAGAGAGAGAGUGGAAGAGAGAGAGAGCAGUUACAAAAAGUCAGAUCCACAGCCGCCUUCUGCUCCUCACCUAGGCCUUAUACUCCAUCAUACACUACUGUCCACUACAACAACACAACUAGCAUGUCUCUGAUUGGUUGAUCCUCUUCUCUAACACAACUAGCGUGUCUCUGAUUGGUUGAUCCUCUUCUCUAACACAAGUAGCGUUUCUCUGAUUGGUUGAUCCUCUUCUCUCAGUCCUGUGUCCUUCUCUUCCUCUCCCACUGACCACUGAGAGGUUGAGGUGGCAUGUUGAAAAACAUGUUGACAUGUUAAAGAAGGAAAAAAUAUAUAAUCAGACUGUUGGUGUUUGUCAUGUCACACGGAACAACUGAUUGGGUGUUGGGAGAAGGAGAGAAUGAGGGAGUGAGUUAAAAACAGAGAGAGAGAGAGAAAGAGAGAGAGGAAGAGAGUUGAAGGGUGUCCUUUCCCAUGUGUGUUGGGAGAAAUGUGCAAGAAGUGUGUGAGACGUGUGUGAGACUGAGGCAUUGCAGACAGGAGGAGCAUACACACACACACACACACACACACACACACACACACACACACACACACACACACACACACACUCAUGUGCAUACACACACACACACACACACACACACAUACCAGUGCACAGGCACGGAGACAGCCACCAGGUCAUGGGGCUACUGAGAAACUGUGUGAGUGUUUGAGUGUGUGUUUGAGUGCUGUGUCACACACCUCACAGGGGGUCAGAGAGGAUGCGCUGAACGCAGCUGGGGGAGGUGGUGGGGUGUAGAAGAAGGGACCCCAACAGCUCGACCACAUUAGGACGCCGCGUGACUGACCACACACACACACACACAGACAGACAGACAGACAGACUGCUGGACUCUUUUCCAAGUGCCUUCCUCGGAGUUCGGGGGGCCUUUUCCCGGGACGCAGCCGGCGUGAGUGGCCUGCCUGCCUGCCUGCUCCACGGGGAGCUGGUGUUCCUCUACAGAGAUGCGUUGCUAUAGUAUUACCUCUGGUGUCCAGGCCAGACACCCGUAGACAUGGACGUCAAAUCCCCCCCGCUGCCCCUCGGCACUGGCCUGGCCAGAUAGAUCUCACACGUGCAUCUGUUUGUAGACUUUGUACAGAAAACGAGAAAAAAACAACAAUGUUCUUUUUUUAUUGUUAUUAUUAUUAUUUAAUAAAGGAUGAAUAACGUACA